UACACAAAGCCACAUGUGCUGUCUUGGUUGUUUCUCCUGUGUAGCCGUUAUAUGACUGUGAAUUAAAAUGUUAGUGUAAUAGUGUUCAUACUACUUCAACAUAUAAAUAUGCCACGUAGAUGCUGUAUGCGUGCUUGUAGAGGCAAUUAUACUGCUCAGGAGAGAGUCAGUACAUUCCAUUUCCCUCGUGAUGAAGAUGCAAGGAGAGAAUGGAUAAGAGCAGUUCACCAUGAUAAUUUUACCCCUUCAGAUCACUAUGUGGUUUGUGAGCUGCACUUCCAUGCACACGAUAGAGAAAGAACUACAUCAGCAUAUGAGCUAAGACUGGAAGAUUAAUUACAACACCUCUUGACCGUCCACGUCUAAGGAAAGGUGCAAUAGCAGCACUAUUGCCAGGAUGUCCUGAUAAUUUAUCUACACUGUCAGCAUCAAGAGAACAUCCUGAAGAUCGAAGACAGCGUUUGGAAAAUGCUUUCGUCAGAUCUGCGCUGAAAGAAAGUUUGAUUACUCAUGAAGACCAUAAGAAGGCAAUAUCAUUCUCUUCGUUGAAGGAAUUAUGUGAUAAAAUUAAUCGUAGUGAUUUGAAUGAGUGGACCUGUGUCAGAAAGUUGAAUAGUGUGUAUUUUCUUUUAAUUAGUGAAGUGCCAUUUUAGAAAGUUUUGUGUUACGUUACAAUUAACGCAAAUCUCACUCUCACUCACUCUCACUGUCCAUGUCAAUGAUUUACAGCUUGGUCAAACAGGGAACAUAAAGUUUCCAGUAACUGU